CGCGGCCUAUCAGCUUGUUGGUGAGGUAACGGCUCACCAAGGCAUCGACGGGUAGCUGGUCUGAGAGGAUGAUCAGCCACACUGGGACUGAGACACGGCCCAGACUCCUACGGGAGGCAGCAGUGGGGAAUAUUGCACAAUGGGCGCAAGCCUGAUGCAGCGAUGCCGCGUGCGGGAUGAAGGCCCUAGGGUUGUAAACCGCUUUCAGCAGGGAAGAAAAUGACGGUACCUGCAGAAGAAGGUGCGGCCUACUACGUGCCAGCAGCCGUGGUGACACGUAGGCACCAAGCGUUGUCCGGAUUUAUUGGGCGUAAAGAGCUCGUAGGCGGUUCAGUUAGUCGGGUGUGAAAACUCUGGGCUCAACCCAGAGACGCCACCCGAUACUGCUGUGACUAGAGUACGGUAGGGGGGUGGGGAAUUCCUGGUGUAGCGGUGAAAUGCGCAGAUAUCAGGAGGAACACCAGUGGCGAAGGCGCCACUCUGGGCCGUAACUGACGCUGAGGAGCGAAAGCAUGGGUAGCAAACAGGAUUAGAUACCCUGGUAGUCCAUGCCGUAAACGUUGGGCACUAGGUGUGGGUCUCAACCAACGAGAUCCGCUCCGUCGCUAACGCAUUAAGUGCCCCGCCUGGGGAGUACGG
rnacentral:rRNA from 1 species